UUGCUCGCUUAGACAGCACAUAUACUAAAAUUGGAAUGAUACAGAGAAGAUUAGCGUGGCCCCUGCUCAAGGAUGACACGCAAAUUCGUGAAGCGCUCCAUAUUUUU
ensembl:snRNA U6 U6 spliceosomal RNA